rnacentral:lncRNA from 1 species
AAAGAAGGGAGGGGAGCCUUGCCCUGAGUCAAGAUGGCUCCUGCGUUCCUCAGAGAUGUCAUCCGUACGUGCCCCAACAGAGGGAACUGGCGGCCGCGAUGAUGAUGGGGGCGGCCGCGGCGAAGGAGGCUGCGCUGGAAUGUGGGCGGGGCGGCGCAGCGGGCGAUGUGGCUUCCCAUUUGCUAACAUCCCAGUCCCGGGCGCUGCCGCCGCCGCCGCCGCCGCGCUGGGCUGAACCUGGCCGGGGCAGGCGAAGGUGCCUCUCCGCUCGCGGGGGAGGGUCUCCGCGGGUGCGCGCCGGUGAUCCCUCAACUUUGAUUAUGUUUUGGGUACAUUGAAAAGACAUUUCCCACUCUUGCCAACGGUUGCGUACUGUUCAGUUGGUCACAAAGAGGAAGAUAAAGGCUUGGAGUCAAAUGGCAUUUUAUUGAGGUUAUGCCAGUCAAACAAAAAGCACUUCCUGGAAUCGUCUGCAGUUCUUACAAUAUGGAGUUAUAGACUUCCCUUUCUUGCAUCCUCACUUAUCCUUCAUUUUCCUAGCAGCUUAAUUUCAUUUUGGAGAUUAAUUCUUGAAGUACCAUUGCUGAAAAGGAGAGGGCAGACAUUUGAACUGUGCAGCACAAUUAAAAGAGGCUCCCUUUCUUUCUCCUUGAUUGAAUCCAGAAAUUAAAGGCAACCAUUUGAACUGAAAGUGAGCAUGGUAGGAUCUUGAGCAUAUGGUACACUACAGUCACAGAAGACAGAGUGAAGAAUGGCUUCCAGAGAGAGGCUGUAUGAACUUUGGAUGCUUUAUUGUAAUAAGGUAAGUUUUUUAAAAUGCUGGGUGUGCAUUAGCUUGCAUUGCUUUGUGGGCAGUAAAUAUCUCCUUUUGGGGGGAAUUAAUUAUAGGACAGUAUCGAAUAUUGCUGCUGCAUCUCUGCUAGUUCUGUUGCAUCAUCACAGCCCACUACUAGCAGUUAAGGAACUUGUGCUUUCCUAGUGUGGUGAGAGCUGAUGUGGUGGCUAGAAGGCUCAGCUGGGGAGCUGGGAGAUCUGGGUUGUAGUCCCUGCUCAGCCAUAGAGCACAUGGGGUGACUUUGGAUCAGUCAUGGAUUCUUGGUCCAGCCUACCUCACAAGGUGGUGGUUGUGAGGAUAAAAUGGGGCUUUAUAAGCCUCCUUGGGUUCCUCACAAGGAGAAAAAAAGGCAAGAUAAUGUAAUGUGAUAAUAAUGGUAAUUGUGCUUCUUAGCGCACACCUGAAAUGAUUGGAAAUGGUUGUUUUUGGAAUAGGACAGCUCAACAGAACUCCCUUCUGCUCAUGUCUGGUUGUUUUAGGAGCGGUCAGAGUCUUCUUUGUUAGUGGUAGAUGCUUGUAUAUAGGCAGUUUAGGAUAUAGUUCAUAAUUAUACUGGUAUGGUUGGCCCAAAUACUAGAUGUUCUUGUUAGAGCUAUCUUCCAUUGUUUUGUUAAUUAAGUUCUGUUUCACGCAUUUACCAUGUCC